UGUCAAAUUAAAAGCAUUUGAAUGAUUGUAAAUGAUGUGAAAACAUGUUUUAAAAACCUGGAAAGGGUAGUCAUGUGCACUGUCCAAUUUGCAUUAAGAAAUGAGCAAAAGUAAAUAAUUAGCUGUGUCCUGCUCUUUAGGUCAUGUUGAACAGCAUAAAGAUUAAAGUUGUUGCAUAAAGAUUAAGUGCUUUAAUUAACUACAGCUGAAAUCACUGAUACUCUGUAAAAUUCAGGCUGGUUUUAAGUAUAUGUAACUAUUAACAGCAUUUCAAAAACUGAAAAUGACCUAUCAAAAUUCAAUUCCACAUCACAUCUUAGUGACAUUAAACAAAUAAAAAUGAUGAUUCAUAUUUCACUCUUUUCAAACUCAUGUUUGUUCACAGCUCAAACAUUUUGGGACUAAAAGUGAGAUCUAAAAGUACAGUGCACACAUCGUACUACAGGUGUAAUUGAAGAAACAUUUAUCUGUGUGUCUGUCUGUUCCAUUAAGUCCCCAAGGUUCUAAUUUUCACCAAACUUUCUGGCUGCAUGUAGACUGACCUCUGAAUUACCCAUAAAGGGCUUGUUUUGGCAAAGGUCAACGUCUCUGAGGUCAAAAUAAUGGUUUAUCUGUCUGUUUGUUCCCCUAAUCCUCCCAGGUCUGAAUUCCAACAAACUUGUGUAGUUGACAGUUAACCCAAGAAUUGCCCUGAAUGGGUUUACUUUGGAAAAGGUUAAAGUCACUGGGGCCAAAUUUGCCACAGAUAUGGAGCUGGAUUUUACAGUUGCCCAAGCAAGGUCAAAUUUGCCAAAGAUCAGCAAAUGGGAUCAAGGUCAUAGGGGUCAAUGGUCUAAAUUAUGAUCCCCCCCCACUCCACUUGGCACCAAAAUAGGCACACAUAUACGAGGUCUAUUAGAUAAUAAACCGACCCUUUUAUUUUUUUUUUAACUAUAUGGAUUUGAAUGACGUGCGAUUACACCAAUCAUGCUUGAACCCUCGUGCGCAUG